rnacentral:rRNA from 1 species
GACGAACGCUGGCGGCGUGCUUAACACAGAAUGAAGAAACGAGUGGCGAACGGGUGAGUAACGCGUAAUCAACCUGCCCUUCAGCGGGGGACAACAGUUGGAAACGAAUGCUAAUACCUAAUACUGUGCGAGAGCUUUGCGUCCCAUUAGCUAGUUGGCGAGGUAACGGCUCACCAAGGCGAUGAUGGGUAGCCGGCCUGAGAGGGUGAUCGGCAACAAGGGGACUGGUACACGGCCCAUACUCCUACGGGAGGCAGCAGUGGGGAAUAGUGGACAAUGGGCCGAAGUCUGUGCCAGCAAUUCUGUGUGCACGAUGAAGUUUUCGGAAUGUAAAGUGCUUGCAGGUGAGAAUCGGUACCAACAGAAGAAGUGACGGCUAAAUACGUGCCAGCAGCCGCGGUAAUAC